rnacentral:rRNA from 1 species
GGGACAACAGUUGGAAACGACUGCUAAUACCGCAUGACGCAUAGGGGUCGCAUGAUCUUUAUGCCAAAGAUUUAUCGCUUCAAGAUGGCCUCGCGUCUGAUUAGCUAGUUGGCGGGGUAACGGCCCACCAAGGCGACGAUCAGUAGCCGGACUGAGAGGUUGAACGGCCACAUUGGGACUGAGAUACGGCCCAGACUCCUACGGGAGGCAGCAGUGGGGAAUAUUGGGCAAUGGGCGCAAGCCUGACCCAGCAACGCCGCGUGAAGGAAGAAGGCUUUCGGGUUGUAAACUUCUUUUAAGAGGGAAGAGCAGAAGACGGUACCUCUAGAAUAAGCCACGGCUAACUACGUGCCAGCAGCCGCGGUAAUACGUAGGUGGCAAGCGUUGUCCGGAUUUACUGGGUGUAAAGGGCGUGCAGCCGGGUCUGCAAGUCAGAUGUGAAAUCCAUGGGCUCAACCCAUGAACUGCAUUUGAAACUGUAGAUCUUGAGUGUCGGAGGGGCAAUCGGAAUUCCUAGUGUAGCGGUGAAAUGCGUAGAUAUUAGGAGGAACACCAGUGGCGAAGGCGGAUUGCUGGACGAUAACUGACGGUGAGGCGCGAAAGUGUGGGGAGCAAACAGGAUUAGAUACCCUGGUAGUCCACACUGUAAACGAUGAAUACUAGGUGUGCGGGGACUGACCCCCUGCGUGCCGCAG